GCGGCAGUGGCGGAACUGGCAGACGCGCUAGAUUCAGGAUCUAGUGGGCCUAGCCCGUGGAGGUUCAAAUCCUCUCUGCCGCACCA
rnacentral:tRNA from 1 species